GUCAGGUCAAAUGUGGAGGUUAUAUUAUUGUGUUGACCGAUUGUGGAAGGGGCAGUUGUGUUGUGAUGUUGUGAAAAUGAGGUUGUUGGUGUGCUUGUUGCUGGUGGUUGCUGUUGCUGGGAAGGGGAAGAAGCAUCGGCAUAAUAAACCAGGUCGAGCAGUCCUAGACCGACUCUCCAGCACCACAGUAACAGAUGGCACCGUGGAACCAGGCAGAGAACUGCUACCGGAGCCUCUAGACGUGGCUCCGUUCGCGGUGGUAGAGGCCAACGCCACCUGCGGGGACAAUGGGGCUGAGGACUAUUGCAGAGAUACGCCGGGAAA